GCGGCGGGAUUGGAAGAGAUCGUCGUUUUUUUAUAAAGAUUUCUCUCUAGAUCAGUGGAGAUCGAAUGGGAUCUCUUGAGAUCUGUGCUGAUCUUGUGAGAUCUGCGUCAAACUCUCAAGAUCUGUGGCGAUCAGUUGAGAUCUCCGUUCCUCUCUCUAGAUCUUUGGUGGUCUGAAGGUAUCCCAGUCUAGAUCUGUGUUUCUUUCUGAACAUUUGGAGAUCUGAAGGUAUCGGCGUUCUUGUCUCAGAAUUUGACGCGUAAUCACCGAUCUCUUGUUUAUUGUAAGAUACUUAGGGGCUCUGUCAAAU
rnacentral:misc_RNA from 1 species